GGAGUUAUGGCUCAGUGGUAGAGUGCUUGCCUAGAGUGUGGGAAGCCCUGGGUUCGAUCCUCAGUACCA
rnacentral:tRNA from 1 species